rnacentral:rRNA from 1 species
GGUCCAGACUCCUACGGGAGGCAGCAGUGGGGAAUAUUGGGCAAUGGGCGCAAGCCUGACCCAGCAACGCCGCGUGAAGGAAGAAGGCUUUCGGGUUGUAAACUUCUUUUGACAGGGAAGAGUAGAAGACGGUACCUGUCGAAUAAGCCCCGGCUAACUACGUGCCAGCAGCCGCGGUAAUACGGAGGAUGCGAGCGUUAUCCGGAUUUAUUGGGUUUAAAGGGUGCGCAGGCGGAAUGUCAAGUCAGCGGUAAAAUUUCGGGGCUCAACCCCGUCGUGCCGUUGAAACUGGCGUUCUUGAGUGAGCGAGAAGUAUGCGGAAUGCGUGGUGUAGCGGUGAAAUGCAUAGAUAUCACGCAGAACUCCGAUUGCGAAGGCAGCAUACCGGCGCUCAACUGACGCUCAUGCACGAAAGCGUGGGUAUCGAACAGGAUUAGAUACCCUUGUA